NNNNNNNNNNNNNNNNNNNNNNNNNNNNNNNNNNNNNNNNNNNNNNNNNNNNNNNNNNNNNNNNNNNNNNNNNNNNNNNNNNNNNNNNNNNNNNNNNNNNNNNNNNNNNNNNNNNNNNNNNNNNNNNNNNNNNNNNNNNNNNNNNNNNNNNNNNNNAGCUCCGACACAGACUGAAAGCAUCACCUGCUCAGCUCCCAGUAUUGCUUUUAUCAGCAUCUUUUCUCUGUAGCUCCAGGGGAAUCUUUUCUCUAAAACAUUUAUGCCCUUGCUUUGGCUAGAAACACAUUAACUGGUUUACUCAUUGAGAAUCCAGCGUAUUUAAGAGGUGAUCCUGUGUUUUUUGCAAUAUCGAGGCAUUCAUACAGAGCUGCAGUGAGGCAGAGUCACAGGGACUAGAAGCAGAAAAACAGUAAUUCCAUUUCAUCAGAUGGAACGAAGAACUUCAUUCUGUAAAGCAGCCCUGGCCAAAUCUGGCCAUUCUGUUUGCCAAGAUUCUUGACUGAAGAUUUAGCCAGGUCCUUCCUCUCACUUGGGUGAGCAGCCCCUUCUGAGUCUCUCGAGCAGCCAGAGGCACAUGAGAGCAGAAUGAGCUAGUAAAUAAGGACUGAGGCAAGUGACUCCUUAGGUCAGUACUGACUAAAUGGAAGCCAAGCAGCUGCUCUGUAAACCUAGCCCCACUCUUCAAUUUUAUAUACAUAUAGAAGCACACACACAAACACACACACACAGGCCCCAGACUUACAAAACUGACUACACUAGAAGUUUGUAUGUCUUAGCUAAAAUUUCAGAAUACAUUUCUCCCUGUCAGGAGUUAUGAAUGAUGGUUUAGUUCCCAGGCAGCUACAGAUGCCUAUUUAUUCCCUAAUAUACUGAACACUAGUACUGCAGAACUGAACCAGGGUAUUACUGAGGUGGGGGAAGCGUGCAUUCUGAGGUCUGACUUGGGGUGCCAGUCACAUACACACCCUCCAUCCCAGUGAGAGAGUGAGGACUCCCUGAGUAAUGGGAACUAUUUUGUGGCCUCUUCUAGUAGGACAGUCAAAAGCACCCAUUUGUACAUAAAGGUCAUUCCUACAUCAUGUUUUAAAUUGGGGUCAGUGUAUAUGCUUGUGUGUGUGUAUUCUAUCUUUCUACCAUAUGUGAUCGGCUUAAUGGUAACUUUAUUUAUUUAAAAAAAAAAAAAAGGAAAGAAACACAAAUAGUUACCAUUAAACUGAUUAAGGCUGUUUAUUUUUACUGUUAGAAUUGGUCAUAUGAAGAUGUAGAGACGCCGUCAUGCCGUAGACAGUGGGCCUAGCUAAUCAGUGGCUAAAGUUGGAAAGGGGUUGGUUUCCUUUGAUAUGUAUGUAUGUAUGUGUGUGGAUGCACAUGCAUAUAUACAUAUGUAUACACACACAUAGAUAAUGUGCUUAACCACUGCCUUUUAAAACUUUAAAUUAAAUAAAACAUUGGGGUUGAUUGAAUUUAGCCAUCUGUGUGUGUUUCUUUAUGGCUACACGGGCUAAGCAACACUAUUUCAUAGUUAAUCCUUUUUAAAAAUGCUUUUCCAACCAUUAUCUUAACUUCUCAUCAUAAUAGCCUUUGUAAGGACAGGUAAAGUAUUUGGGGUAUUAGCAAAAAUGUCAUUUAUCCAGAAGUUAACUUCUCUGGCAAAAAAAAAAAAAAGUCAGGAAUUGAGUCUUAAAAGGCCUUGGAGCUGCCAGACAGAUGUCACAGAUUUCUUGCAACUACUCCUAAGGGAUAUCCACAAGAUUUCACUCUUAGCCUUUUUACUAAAAUUUGCAUACAUCUCUUAACAUAUUGAGAUAUCUGCCUCCACACACACUCAAAAAAAAGAGGCAAACAAAGAGGCUGCUAGACUGAAGUCAGGCAGACUGAAAGCAGAAAAGACCACUGAAAACACUGUGUUAAGAUAGGAAGAAACUAGUCAAGGUGAAGCAAAUCAAGACUCUCAAUUUUGCCAUGGGAUAUUGACCCAGCAAAUAAGUGUUUAAUAGUAUGGCCCAUAAACUCAUUCUCUGCCCAUGAGUUUCUUUAAAGGAAUAAAUUAGCCAAAAUGUUUUAUAAAAGACCAAGAAGAAUAAAGACAUUAAGGAAUUUCAUCCAAAAUAGUUGAGGGAGAGAUUAUGAAUGACCUACAUUUUAACAACAGUAAAUAAAAUAAAACUUGACAAUUCUUAAUUUUAGAUUAGUGAAAAGGGGUUUUUAAAAACUUGAUAUUUUUGUUAUUCUACAAAUGUAUUUUUUAUAAUUUCUAAAAUCACUUUGGGAUGAGUGUCAGCCUGGGGAAGGGCCAUCCAUCUUGACAGCUCUGCAGAGUGAGCAAGUGAACAGUCUGUUAAGAAUCUGUGAUUUCCUUUCAGUUUGCAUUUCCUAUUGCUGGGUGUUAAACUUGGAUUUUAAAGAGGGAGAAUUUUCAGGGGAGAGGAUGGGAGUGACCUCACCUUGCACACGGAAAAGAGCUGACACCAGUGGGUGCUGAUGGCACGUGAGCUCUCUUGCAUCCCUAGAGCCUCACAGCAAGCAAGAGUCCAUCUGUGGCCACCUGACCCCCAGCACGCUCCUUCCCCAGCCCCACUGCACCUGGAGUACACCAUGCCUCCCCAGGCUUUGAAGGUGGGGAACAGAGUGGGAUGGAGAAGGUGUCUCAGGCCAUUUUAAGCAAUAGCUGUCUCCGCAGAACUUGAAACAUUUUAAAAAAUGUUUUAAGCAGGGAGGGGCCUUGGAAUGGAAAUGUGAGUGGGAAGCUUGCUCAGUUAGGUGAGUACUUGAUUUCAAAUGAAGACCUGGAAAACUUUAGGGUAAGACGGAGGCCAGGGAUGCAGGCCCCUCUACCCACACCCCUCCUGACUUCAGAAGUGGGGUGCUAGAGUAUGUUGUGAAUAAAGCAGUUGAGCUGCUGCUUUGGAAGAACAAUUGCCAAAUUAUUGCAGCCCUUUCGCAUGUGUGGUGAUCCUGGGUGGUGGGCAGGGCAGAUGUUACCCCUUCUUUGGGAAUGAGGACAUAGGCUUUGCGAGGGACUGAACACCAAGUAGCAGGUCAGUCUUGCCACCUCCCAGACAGGUGUCACUUGCAUUCACUUCCUUUUUUUCCCUGAUCGUAAAAAUAAUGUCUGUUUUUUGUAGAAAGCUUGGAAAAUGCAGAAAGCAAUAAAAUUAAUUUUACCCAAAAUCCCACCACCCAGAGAGAAUCACUGUUAACAUUUCAGUGUAUUUCCUUCCUAUAUUUUUUCUAUGCAUAUAUAAUUUAUUUUACUACAAGAUUGGGAUCACGCUGUACUUACAGAUUUGUAUCCUGCUUUCUUUAACAUAUUGUGAGCAUUUUCCCAUGUCAAUAAAUAUUCUUCAAAAGUUAAUGGCUAUACGA
rnacentral:lncRNA from 1 species